rnacentral:rRNA from 1 species
UACAGAGGUCUCAAGCGUUGUUCGGAUUCAUUGGGCGUAAAGGGUGCGUAGGCGGCGCGGUAAGUCGGGUGUGAAAUCUCGGAGCUUAACUCCGAAACUGCAUUCGAUACUGCCGUGCUUGAGGACGGGAGAGGAGACUGGAAUUUACGGUGUAGCGGUGAAAUGCGUAGAUAUCGGGAGGAACACCAGUGGCGAAGGCGACUUCCUGGCCUGUUCUUGACGCUGAGGCGCGAAAGCUAGGGGAGCAAACGGG